UACGUAGGGGGCAAGCGUUGUCCGGAUUUAUUGGGCGUAAAGAGCGUGUAGGCGGCCAUACAGGUCAGCUGUGAAAACUCGAGGCUCAACCUCGAGACGUCGGUUGAAACCGUAUGGCUAGAGUCCGGAAGAGGAGAGUGGAAUUCCCGGUGUAGCGGUGAAAUGCGCAGAUAUCGUGAAGAACACCCGUGGCGAAGGCGGCUCUCUGGGACGGUACUGACGCUGAGACGCGAAAGCGUGGGGAGCGAACAGG
rnacentral:rRNA from 1 species